rnacentral:rRNA from 1 species
GAUGAACGCUGGCGGCGUGCCUAACACAUGCAAGUCGAACGGAAAGACCAUGAGCUUGUUCCUUUGACGUUAGCGGCGGGCGGGUGAGUAACGCGUGGAUCAUCCACUUAUAUUUCGGGGAUAAUCUCGGAAAACCGGAUAUAAUACCAGAGAAUAUAUUGUACCGUUGGGUGCAAUAGAGAAUGUCGGCUUUGGGGGUUGUAAUAGCGGCUUCCGGGCUGCCUUAGCUAGUUGGUAGGGUAACGGCCUACCAAGGCGACGAGGCGUAGCCGAGCGGAGAGGGUGAUCGGCCACACGGGAGCUGAGACACGGACCAGACUCCUACGGGAGGCAGCAGUAGGGAAUGUUCGGCAACGGGCGAAAGCAUGACGGAGCAAGCCCGCGUGAGUGAUGAAGGCCUUCGGAUCGUAAAGCCCUGUUAUUGGGGAAGAACAGCUGUGGAAGUAGACAUGGCGGUCGUGACGGUACCGAAUCAAGAAGCACCGGCUAACUACGUG